GAAAGAUGCAACCUGGGCCAGAGGCCCCUGGAGGUUGUGCCUGAACCCAGACAGAUCACACAAACCUGAGCAGCCAUUAGCCGCUGUGUGGGCUCCUUUGCACUGUGGGGCUGCUCCUGGGGAUAUUUACGUUGUGAACUGGUAAAAUCUGAACUGCAGAAUAUCAAUUUCCAGACAUUCUUCCUAGAUGAUGCCGUCUGCCACGGAGACCAUGUAGAUGGAUUGAAUGGGGAUAUGAUGAGGAUGACCACCCCUGCAUUUGCUAAGUUCUUGGGAGUGGCAUCGAUCUCAGCCAUUCCACUGGAAUAGGGUCAGGAAACAAAACGUGAGGGCUCUACCAGCUGCUCAGUCUAUCCUUUCCAAUUGAGCACACUGGAACUGAGGAAGCAAAGACAGGGUGAGCCCUAACACCCUCAUCAUCACUGCUGAGCCUGCCUUGACAAGAACUCCAUUUAUCACCCGCCUCCAUAAUAGCCCAUUCUAACUAGCUGUCAUCGUGGCAUUUCAGGUUCUGCUGAUGUCAUUAUAAUGGACCUUAACUAGUGGGCUGAAGGCAAUGAGGGGAUGUGAGGAUGCAUCUUGUGAAGGACAAAAGUCAUCCUGUAAGGAUUCAUGAGACCUGAGCAGCCAGCCAGCCCUGAAAUGGUUGGAACAGGAGAAAGAAGAAGAGCUCGACAGAUACCCUGCCUGGGCUGGCAGCUAGCUGCACCACAAGCUGGCCAGCUGACAGCGGGCACAUCCCUUCAUCACCCAGUGCCUUUCUUCCCUCUUGUGAAAAUGGAGAUAUGCUGAGAAGGUUACUUCAGCUCAUCCAGAGAAAGCUUCUUCAGCUAACUAGGCUGUAGAAAGGGCCUACAGCCUAAAUUUUCAAAAACAAGUUAAUGCCAGAAUAUAAACUCCGUGAAGUAACA
rnacentral:lncRNA from 10 species